AAGAAAGGAGCCGUGGAAGACACACUUGCUGCUGUAACAAGCAUGGAGAAGACCAUGUGUAGGAGCUUUCUCCUCAUAAUUCUGACUUCAUGUUUCUGCGGUUAGUUGAACCUCCAUGAGGACGCUGAUUUAGUACCUUUGUGAAUUUAUAUUUUACAUAAACAUUUAGUAAUGGUUAGAACGGUUGUUUUUAAUAGUUUAGCCAUCAUCAUUCCCAGAGGAAAAAUUGUGAUAAACUCGAACUUUUUUGUCUGUCAUCUUGCUAAUGCCAUGCAGUGGCUAAAAAAUUUAGCUAGCAUAGAAUAGCCCAGAUUUGAAUUUCCACUGCCUGCUAGGGUUGCCAACCGUCCCUUAAAAUACGGAAUCGUCCUGUAUUUCGAAACAAAAGUACACGUCCCGUAUUGAGCUAAUAAGGGACGCACUUUGUCCCGUAAUACAGUGAGAAUCAAAAGUAGUCUAUAAAUGUUAAUGGAAUUAACGCUUUGUUUGAAAACAUAAUUCCCAGCCCCUCUCCUGCUUUGUGACCAAUGAGCUGACAGCACACUUAUGACAAUUCGAGUAUGACAAUUCAGAUUACCGCUCAUCUCAUUGGUCAGGAAAGGUCGCUUACGGAGAAAAUACCGGAAGACAACAGAUGACCACAACAAGAAGCAUGGCCAACAGGGGAACAAACGCCGACACUGCGGUGCAAGUCUCGGACGACAGUACACCUAAAGCUGGGCAGACACUGUGCGAUUUUUUCAGUCGCGUUAUUCAGCUCCUGCUCAAACUGCACGAUUGACUCGCAGGGGUUAGAAGUUGGGAGUUGGCAACCCUACUGCCUGCAGUUACCUGAGCUGAAGGUUUUCUUCAACAUGGACGAUAGUUCUGAUGAGCCUCAGCAUGAGCAGUUUGCUGGACGUGUUCAGUGUGACAAAGACGCUCUGACGACAGGACGAGUCAGACUUCAGCUGUCCAGAGUUAGGAGUAACGACUCGGGCCGCUACCUCUGCAGGAUGGCCACUCAGUUUGGAAAGAAGGUUAAAGAGUUCAGGCUCAACAUCACUGCAGCCACAGUGAAACCCAAGCCAGUGACAGCAACACGAGAACCAAACCGAAAACCUGAGAGAGGAGAAAGAAGCCUUUUUUCCAACUUGGCAUUGGGUGCAGGAUUGGCAGGAUGUCUGGCAGCCUUUGUCAUACCAAUCAUUUACCUCUUUACUCUAUACAGACAGGGGACAACUUAAAGUAUAAAACACAGUACACUCAGUCAUACAAUAGCUUCUGUAGACCUUGGUAGUGACUCUGCAGGGCUCUGGAACUUGGCUAGAGAUCGUCUGAUCACUGUCAGCGAGUUUAUUGGAUCUGGGUGAUUGUCCUCCUGGGAGAGACCAAUCUCAUCAGGAUGAAGACGAUUACUUAGAAAAACUGCAGUAACACUUCACUCUCAAGGAUUAAGUGGAAACAAAGAAUGGAAGCAAAGUGCCUGCUCAAGAAAGUGCAAUGAGGAACAUACAUGUUCUUCUGCUGCCCCCUGCUGCUCUGAAGAGAAAUGCAGGAGCUCAGUGACAAGCGCUGAGCAGGUCCUUCUGAGCUUUUGAAAAAGGUUGGACAUAAAUCACAGAAGUCUCUGAAUUCUCACAGUUUUCUACCUUAUUAGUGUUACAGCUGAAAUGUGAAUUUAAAAAAAGAGUAACAUCUAUAUUUAGUAAAAUAAGAGAAUACGGGUUUUUAAUGACCUUUUAUGUAUUGUUGAUAGUGACUCUGUUGUACUUUUAUUACUGGAUCUUAGUCCUGCAUUUGACACACUGGAAAAUAAGUUUGAUUUUCCAUGAUUAACAAUAAAAUGUAGAAAUCAUGUAGGAGAGUCAUGCCAGCAAUUAAAACCGCUUCCUGUAUCUCGUUAACCACACAAACACAAAUGAGGAAUACCUUACAAUAAUCAUCAAUCUUUCUUAGACUCAAACACAUGGAAAGAGUGAUCAGCAAUCAUUUUUGUCAUUUCAAGUCACAAUACCUAAAUUUUUAUUUUAUUGUUGUUAAGGAAAGAAAGUUUACCUCAUUUUUUCAUGUUAAUUUCAGUCAGGUUACGCUAUAAAAUUAGAUCACAGUCUUAAGAUAAUUGUGGAUCUGGGUCAUUGUCUGAAAACAGUUUUUUUUAAAAAUGAGGCUUGGGGGGAAAAUGUGACAGUGAUAUUGAGGCAAGUUGAGUCAGUGGCUGGAAUAUAACCCCAAAGAGUUUAUGUAGACUAUGUUCCUAGAAACGUCUGCGUUUAAGUGUUCAUUUCCAGUAUUCCACAGAAAAGCUAAAGAUGGCCAGACAGUGCAAAAGAUAAAGGCUUUGCAUUCUUAGAUGAUCUAAACAGAGCAGCAAUGCUCUGCAGCAAUUGAUGGAAGUGAAACUGAGCUCCAUACACAUAUUAGUCUUCCCAAGGGAGUAUGUAGUUGGUUCUGUUUGUUUUUCUGAUUGUUAGCAGUCUAGCUCGACAGUUGUCAGUAUUAUAUUAUAUCACAUUAUUUUGUGAUGGUAGAUACCAAUAAGUUUGAGUGGUUUUGAUUUUGGUGAAAAUGAGGUCAACAUAAAGAUCACACCAAAUGUGAAAAUCAGUAUAAAAGUUUAUGUUAUCCACAAUGUUUUAUGAAUUGUCUUCAAACUUCACAAUAUAAUAUGCUUCUGGGGACAUGAGUACCUAGGACACCUGAACAUUUGACCUGGACCCUUGUUAGCAGUCUACCAUGGAAAAAAAAACUUUAAAGAAACCACAAUGUCAUUAGAUAUAGUAUGAAAUAUCAUACGAAAGAACAUGGAGAGAGCUGCACAACACGCGUUAUUUUACGCUACCCAUUGCCUUUUGGGGGAGUGGUGUUCUGAGUCCUCUUGUCCAUCUUGUAGCUAACACACUAAAAUCACAAUUUAAUAUUUACUGAAAAUGUUUCUAUAGUAUGAACAGGAAACAAAUGUAUUUUUACCUUUAUUGAACUGAAGGCUCAAUAAAGUUUGAAAUUAUCUCAAGCCUUAAUGUGCAGUUUUAUUUACCCUUGUAGGGCCCAUUUUACCCCAACAUUGGGGCAAGUUGAGCCAUGUGCCUAAUGUUUUGAUAGGUCAUUGUUCUAAAAGCAAGGUGUUUGAUAACUGGACUGGUUCUUAUAUAGUUUCUUUGUCACUACUCAAAGAGUUUUAUCCAACUUGCCUCAUUCACAAAAGCACUUUUUUCCCUUUAAGCGCAGUUUAACAUUCACACUAAUGCAUCAGAGAGCAACUUGGGGUUACAUCUCUUGCACACUGCAGCCAGGGAUUGAACCACCAACCUUCCCAUUGUUAGAGGACCUGCUCUACCCAUGCUUUACAGAGUUCCUGUUUCACACAGUUAAUUGGCUGAGUUCCCUUUUUUGUUUACAUGGUCUGAAAAGGCAUCACUGUAUCACCAGCCCUGCAACUUUAGAAGCACACAUUACAGACAGGUUUCACUCUAUCCCACCUUUACCAGGUUUUGACAGAAACCUGGUAAAACACACAUAUUUGUGGUGAGACUCCGCAAGAGCCAUUUAAUUUGCGUAUUUUGACACUUGUCCACUUGUGUUGAAUUUUUGUAAUACACUUCUGUAUUUACAAACACUAUUAAAACAGUCUAUUUAAAAUCCACAGAUUGAAAGCAUACAUUCAGGAAGGCUGUGCAUUUAAAAGGCCAUAAGUAUUGUCCAAAGAAUCCAGUUGAUGGAUAAAACUUUGAUCAUGUUGUGAGGCAUAACAAACACCCCCCCCCCCCCCCCCCCCCAAAAAAAAGCCACCGUCCCCAUUGACACUUUAAAGUGAAAGGUGGGGCAUUCGUAAGAUUAGUGGCUGUUGCACCAAGCCUGGAAGUUCAUACGUGUCCAGCUGAUAGAGAUCACGUCCUCUAUCAUUAGGCAAAGGUUCUUGCUCUGUGCAGCUCUGGAAUAGCUUAUUUCGCCAUUCCCUCUUAAAUAAAGGUGCAUAAAACAAAGCACAGAUGGCCAGUAAGAUGGUUACAACUAGUGAUGGCCAAAUGAAGCUUUCCGAAGCACUGAAGCUUGUAUUGAAAAACGGUUCAUUACUCGAAGCUUUUCAACACAGUCCUCUCCGGUGACAUCUGGUGGUGAAAAUUUUGAAGAGCAGCUUGAAUCUGCAAAAUAAAACGGACUGCUCAAUUAUCACUGCUCACUCAAGAGUGGAGUUCUCUCUGAUAUUGGGCCACCGUUCCGUUGCUUUGAAGAUGUAAUUGGUUUGUUUUCUCGAUUGGGGGGCUGAAAAAAAUGUAAUGCGUAU
ensembl:lncRNA